rnacentral:tRNA from 2 species
CUUAGCUCAGCAGGCAGAGCAACUGACUUGUAAUCAGUAGGUCACCAGUUCGAUUCCGGUAG